rnacentral:lncRNA from 1 species
CGUCCUCUCCCUCUUCCGCUCUCAGACAGAUCUCCACGGUGCGCUCCUCUCCAACUGGACCUCCACCUCCAGCGCCUGCUCCGCCAAGUGGCUCGGCAUCAACUGCACCAACAACCGCGUCACCGCCGUCUCCCUGCCGUCCCUCAACCUCCGCGGCCCCAUCGACGCCCUCUCCUCCCUCGACCAGCUCCGCCUCCUCGACCUCCGCGGCAACCGCCUCAACGGCACGCUCGCAGCCCUCGCGCAAUGCACCAACCUCAAGCUCAUUUACCUCUCGGGAAACGACUUCUCCGGCGAGAUACCGCCGGAGCUUUCCUCCCUCCACCGCCUCCGCCGCCUCGACCUCUCCAACAACAACCUCCGCGGCCCCAUCCCCGCGCAAUUCGCCAACCUCUCGCGAUUGCUCACUCUCCACCUCCAAAACAACGAGCUCUCCGGCACAAUCCCUAAAUUCCUCGACUCAUUCCCUCAUAUCAAAGAAGUCAAUUUAUCAAACAACGAGC